rnacentral:rRNA from 1 species
GACGAACGCUGGCGGCGUGCUUAACACAUGCAAGUCGAACGGUGAAGGGACCGGUUUUUGCUGGUUCUGGAUGAGUGGCGAACGGGUGAGUAACACGUGAGUAACCUGCCCCCUUCUUCUGGAUAACCGCAUGAAAGUGUGGCUAAUACGGGAUAUUCUGCGCCUGCUGCAUGGUGGGUGUGGGAAAGAUAUUGUUUCGGUGGGGGAUGGGCUCGCGGCCUAUCAGCUUGUUGGUGGGGUGAUGGCCUACCAAGGCGGUGACGGGUAGCCGGCCUGAGAGGGUGGACGGUCACACUGGGACUGAGACACGGCCCAGACUCCUACGGGAGGCAGCAGUGGGGAAUACUGCACAAUGGGCGCAAGCCUGAUGCAGCGACGCCGCGGGAGGGAUGGAGGCCUUCGGGUUGUAAACCUCUUUCGCCAGUGAAGCAGGCCUGUCCCUUUUGUGGGUGGGUUGACGGUAGCUGGAGAAGAAGCGCCGGCUAACUACGUG